UACAGAGGGGGCAAGCGUUGUUCGGAAUUACUGGGCGUAAAGGGCGCGUAGGCGGCGCGGUAAGCGUGCGGUGAAAGCCCGGGGCUCAACCCCGGGUCGGCCGUGCGGACUGCCGGGCUGGAGCACUGUAGAGGCAGGUGGAAUUCCGGGUGUAGCGGUGGAAUGCGUAGAGAUCCGGAAGAACACCGGUGGCGAAGGCGGCCUGCUGGGCAGUAGCUGACGCUGAAGCGCGACAGCGUGGGGAGCAAACAGG
rnacentral:rRNA from 1 species